rnacentral:ncRNA from 1 species
UAAAAGUUUGAUUCUUGCUUAAACUUUUAUUUUAUAAUUAAUGUACAUGUGUAUCUUGGUGGGUAGGGAAUAAAAAGAUUAAAGAUAGUUUAUAAUGAAAUAAAGAUUUUUUGAUUAUUCGCAGUAUGGGAGAUUGAAUAUUAGAUUAAGGUUUGAUUUAGUAAAUUAUAAAAAGUUUGAUUAAAUUUUGUGCCAGCAAUCGCGGUUAGACUUAAAAGCUUAGUAAAAGCAUUUUAGUUAAGGUUAUUCUUAUAUUUAGAGGUAAACGAAAGUUUAUAACAAUAGAAGGUGAAAUUGGUUUAUUGUGGGUAAAUAGAAGUUGAAUAUUAAAGAAGAAAAAGCCUAAAAAUUAAGAUAUAAACCAGGAUUAGGUACCCUGUUAUACUUGAAGGGUAAAAAUAAAACUUGAAUAUUAGUAGUUAUGGGCUUUAAAUUCAAAGAAUUUGGCGGUAUUUUAGUCUUGUUAGAGGAACCUGUUCUGUAAACGAUACAACACGAAAAAUCUUACUUACUUUUGUUUAACAGUUUGUAUACCGUCAUUAUUAGAUUACCUUCGUAGAGAAAGUUAUUGAAAUUUAAGAAGUUGAAGUAUAUUAGAUCAAGGUGCAGUUUAUAAGUAAGAAGAAAUGGGUUACAAUAAAAUUUAUUUAUACGUAUCAGUAAUUGAAUAGUUUCUGUGAAGGAGGAUUUAAUUGUAACAUAUAAUUUAAUAAGUUAGUGUGAUAUGAGAACUAAAAUAUGUACAUAUCGCCCGUCGCUUCCAUUUAAGGUGGAAUAAGUCGUAACAUAGUAGGUGUACUGGAAGGUGUACCUAGAAUUAA